AGUGAACGCUGGCGGUAGGCCUAACACAUGCCAGUCGAACGGCAGCACAGUAAGAGCUUGCUCUUACGGGUGGCGAGUGGCGGACGGGUGAGGAAUACAUCGGAAUCUACUUGUUCGUGGGGGAUAACGUAGGGAAACUUACGCUAAUACCGCAUACGACCUACGGGUGAAAGCAGGGGAUCUUCGGACCUUGCGCGAUUGAAUGAGCCGAUGUCGGAUUAGCUAGUUGGCGGGGUAAAGGCCCACCAAGGCGACGAUCCGUAGCUGGUCUGAGAGGAUGAUCAGCCACACUGGAACUGAGACACGGUCCAGACUCCUACGGGAGGCAGCAGUGGGGAAUAUUGGACAAUGGGCGCAAGCCUGAUCCAGCCAUACCGCGUGGGUGAAGAAGGCCUUCGGGUUGUAAAGCCCUUUUGUUGGGAAAGAAAAGCAGCAGGUUAAUACCCCGCUGUUCUGACGGUACCCAAAGAAUAAGCACCGGCUAACUUCGUG
rnacentral:rRNA from 1 species